UCCCUGGUAGUUUAGUGGUUAAGAUUUGGUGCUCUCACUGCCUUGGCCCGGGUUUGAUUCCUGGUCAGGGAA
rnacentral:tRNA from 1 species